GCCUGUGGGGCAUUACAUGGCUGCAGGUGCAGAUGCUACAGAAAUGGUGUGCAAGCAGCAGGUGGUUUGAACUCCACCACAGCGAUUUUGGUACUGCUGUCAGAAUUUCUCUAGGGUGACUUGUGGCGCUCAGCCAGUCACCGAGAACUGCGCGUGCGCAGUACAGUUGUUUUGCCAAGGCGUCGGAUAGAUUUAAAAUGACCCUUCAGGCUCUGGGUUUUUUCCUGCUCACUAACAAGGAAUUUUCAGCCAGCUGGCUGGAUUUAAGGGUACAGUCCGUGGCAGUAGAACAAGCAGAAAGCGAUUGACUCAAACAGAUUAACUAGAGGCCCUUCUUGGCUUCUUCUAUAGUACACAGGAAAAGGCAGAGGUAUUGGGUGGAAAACAGUGUGUCAACAGUGUGCUUGACAACAUGCAGACUUAAGGGUUCUGCAGCUAAUGAGCAAGGUUUGGUACUGUUUUUUUUUUUUUUUUUUUCCAGAAUCUUAAGGCUAGCAGGUCAUGGCACUUUGACUUUAGUCACUAGGAAAGCUAAGUAAAGUAGGGUUGAAUAAAUUGAGUAUUAUUCAGAUUCUUCUAAUACUUAGUGAAGUACAGGGUACCAGGAAUUUUUACACAUGACAUCUCUUUCAAUUCUCACUGAAAACUAGUGAGAUAGAAACCAUUGCCCCUAGGUGCAGAUAAGGAACAUUAAACUCAAGAGUUCUUAGCUGAUGAAAACACGAAUACAAGCUCACUCUUAUUAGUUCAGUCAGCUUCCACUAGGCCUUGCAUUACUUCCUCUGCAGUUAAACCAAGAUACAUACGACUUGGAAAAUGGAUGUGACACUUAAAAGUUCAAAGUUAUAAGGAAUUAGUUCAGAAAUUAUCUAGUUCAGCUCUUUACUGACAAAGAAACCAGACCCCAAAACAUGUCCAAAGUCAUAUAGUUACUGCUCGGUACAGGAAYGACUGGGGACCAGAGUGUUUCUGGAACUCCCAGAAAGAAAACUAUCCCAAAAGCUUUUUUUUUAUCAUUUCUGAUAGCAUUUGAUGGAAGGGGACUUUGAAAUUUCAUAAAAAAAAUUUCACUGGGGCUUGAAAUUUAAAUAUAUCCCUAUCACUGUCUAGGAACCCCUCACUUAAAGUGUUAGGAGGCAAUGAUAAGUACAAGUGGUUGUAAGCCCUUUCAUAGUUGGAUCUGAGCUACAGGUUGAUUGAUGAUAUGGAAGCUGAGUGGCUUAGAAUGUAGAUAUUCUCUGACAAUAUAUAAUGGAAAACUAUCACUGACGUUCUUGGGAAGUGCUAGGCCACUACCUACUGCUUAAAAAGACAAUGGAAAGCCAUAUCAACAUCAGUUACCAUUUGAGAGAGGCACAUACAUCAUAUUGGGCCAAAACAGCAUGGAGUUAAUAAACCUCACUAAGAGUUUGGCUCCUUUGUGACUUGUCAGAGAGGACUUCUAGCAGCAUUUCCCCCUUUUUACUAUGAAGCAUCUCAAGCAUAUAGAAAAGUAAAGAGAAUAUUAAGAUGAAAAGUCAAACACUUUUCAUGCAGACUUAACAAAUAACAUCUUAUUACUCAUUUCAUCUCUAUUUUUUUCUAAAGUUUAAAGGAAGUUUAUGACAUGUUUCUCAUAAAUG